UGCGGACGGUCGAUGUGGUAGUUUAAUCAUAUUUACGCUUUGCCGAGAGAAAAUGUGCUCUUUUUUGUGCGCAUCAGCGAUCGCUAAGCCCCUGGGACUGUGCAACGCUGCUAGCUAGCUGUAUCUCUCGUGCGGUGCGGCGUUGUUGGUUAUCGUAGUUCGGUCCAUUCGUGCUCUUUGUUCCCGGCUCAUUAGCAGCCUCUGGUACUCUCGCCGAUCUCGCAGCGGUUCACAGUGCACGGAAGAAUGUGUUGGAAAUUGUACUAUUACGUUCAUCCGCAAUUUAACAGUGUUUAUGCCGGAAGGACAGUUCGUGCAGUCGAUGCCGCCGGACCUGACACGAAGGAGCGUUUGCCGAGUAUGUCUCGAAAGGGAUGUCACGAUUUCGUGAGACGGAUGCAAUCUCUGCACCACAUGGAGCCUGUGGCAAAAUGCAGUCUGAGCAGCCCGACAAGGAAUCUGAUCUGCUUGCUUUGACAAGGUAUGGCUGGGCCUGCAGAGAAAGUGCAAGCAGACUGUGCUGUGUUGCUGAUCAGUGCUGAUCUCCACGCCUGAGUUGGUCCCACAACAUCCAGGCACCGGCGUGCUUUGCUUCAUCAUUGACAAGGUGCGCGGCAAGCUCUCACUCAAGCAACACAUUCCAGUGGUCUUCUGUCAACAGACUGGGUCUAUUGAAGUACCAUUACAAUGUGCCAAUAAACAACGCUUGCGAGAUGUGUGACGUGCUCUUGCUUAAAAUCGGAGGACUUCACUAUUAAUGUAAGCUUGAAUAGGUGUGCUGAAGAACCUGUGUAACGUGUACUUGUUUAUUAACAAGUACAAACCAUUACCUCACCUGACAUUUUUUUUCACCUCAACAUAACUCUUUACUGUAGAUUUCUGAACAAACCAUUACAGCGACACAACACUGCAGUAAGGUCAGCACAAGUGUUCAUGCAUGAACACUUGUAUUUACAAGAAUUGUAUUUGCAUUAUUAUACUAAAUAUGAAUAUGAGGUGCGUAUCUUUUUCAGGGUGCAUACUCUCGCAGGUUGUACAAGCUCG